GUAAGGAAUAUUGGACAAUGGACGCAAGUCUGAUCCAGCCAUGCCGCGUGAAGGAUUAAGGUCCUCUGGAUUGUAAACUUCUUUUAUAAGGGAUGAAAAAAGGCUUUUCUAAGUCGUCUGACGGUACCUUAUGAAUAAGCACCGGCUAACUCCGUGCCAGCAGCCGCGGUAAUACGGAGGGUGCAAGCGUUAUCCGGAUUCACUGGGUUUAAAGGGUGCGUAGGCGGGCAGGUAAGUCAGUGGUGAAAUCCUAGAGCUUAACUCUAGAACUGCCAUUGAUACUAUCUGUCUUGAAUAUUGUGGAGGUAAGCGGAAUAUGUCAUGUAGCGGUGAAAUGCUUAGAUAUGACAUAGAACACCUAUUGCGAAGGCAGCUUACUACGCAUAUAUUGACGCUGAGGCACGAAAGCGUGGGGAUCAAACAGGAUUAGAUACCCGGGUAGUCC
rnacentral:rRNA from 1 species